GUGGCAUACGGCUCAGUAACACGUAGUCAACAUGCCCAGGGGACGUGGAUAACCUCGGGAAACUGAGGAUAAACCGCGAUAGGUCACUACUUCUGGAAUGGGUAAUGACCCAAACCUAUAUGGCCCCUGGAUUGGACUGCGGCCGAUCAGGCUGUUGGUGAGGUAAUGGCCCACCAAACCUGUAACCGGUACGGGCUCUGAGAGGAGGAGCCCGGAGAUGGGCACUGAGACAAGGGCCCAGGCCCUAUGGGGCGCAGCAGGCGCGAAACCUCUGCAAUAGGCGAAAGCUUGACAGGGUUACUCUGAGUGAUUUCCGUUAAGGAGAUCUUUUGGCACCUCUAAAAAUGGUGCAGAAUAAGGGGUGGGCAAGUCUGGUGUCAGCCGCCGCGGUAAUACCAGCACCC
rnacentral:rRNA from 1 species